UACGAAGGGUGCAAGCGUUACUCGGAAUUACUGGGCGUAAAGCGUGCGUAGGCGGUUGGCUAAGUCAGAUGUGAAAGCCCUGGGCUCAACCUGGGAAUGGCAUUUGAAACUGGCCGGCUAGAGUGUGAUAGAGGAUGGCGGAAUUCCCGGUGUAGCGGUGAAAUGCGUAGAGAUCGGGAGGAACAUCCGUGGCGAAGGCGGCCAUCUGGAUCAACACUGACGCUGAGGCACGAAAGCGUGGGGAGCAAACAGG
rnacentral:rRNA from 1 species